GUCUAUGGCCAUAGCGACCUGAGCACGCCCCGUCUCGUCUGAUCUCAGGAGCUAAGCAGAGUUGGGCCUGGGUAGCACUUGGAUGGGAGAAAGAUUUGAUGAAAGUUAGAUAUUAAAAUCU
rnacentral:rRNA from 1 species